GGUAUGUGGCUUAGUGGUAGAGUGCUUGCCUAGCAUGCAUGAAGUCCCAGGUUCAAUUCCUCAGUACCA
rnacentral:tRNA from 1 species